UCUAUUGAUGCAGGUCAGUUACUGCCCUUCUUUACGCCCCGUCGCGGGCGACAUUGAUCCCCGUCAAUUUUCCAAUCCGCCUUCUCCAUUAACUUAGCCCUAUCGCAACAAGGCAAGUGCAGGAGGCCGGUCAUGUUUAUCGAUAAUGUGGUAUUCGCCGGAGUGCUGACUGUAAGCCUCAUGGUGCUGUUUUUUGUAGGGUUUGGAUUUUUUAUCUGGAAAGACGCGAACAAGCGUAAAAAACCUUAGGUCUUUCCGGGUUACAUGAGCACGCAAGGCAUUUUGGGCGACUUCGGUCGCCCUUU
rnacentral:misc_RNA from 1 species